rnacentral:pre_miRNA from 1 species
UUUAAAUGAUUUUUACAUUUGGCGCUUAGUAGAAUGUCACCGUAAACAUUAUUAUACAACGGUAACAUUUACUAAGAGCUCAGAUGUAGAGUUAUG